GAUUUGUUCAGCAGCCACACCUGUUCCAUGUGUGGAGGCGACCAAGCAAGACAGUGGCAGGAGGCACACCACAGUUUCUUGGUUCUACUUGGAGAGACAAGGCAGCUCCAUGCUAAGAAUACUGACCACUAGGAAUAUCAAAACCUCAGUUCCAGGAGCUGUUCCAGAAGCAGAAACCCUCUCAGCCUUGAUUUUGGAUCCAGCUCAGGACCGUUGUGCUUAAGAUUCAUUGUUAUUGUGGCUUAUCAUCACAUCUGUUUCUAACCUCAUUAGGGCCAUCAUUCUUGGAAAGUCAUCCAGUUCAUCAAUAUCCUUUAACACUGUUUGGAUUUGUGGGUGUUCAUUCAAGCAGGAAGGGAGGCCUAUGGAGCUUAUACAGGUUGGGAAGACGACAGUCAACAAAAAUUUGUGGACCAGGGAUACAGUAUGAAUCAGUGAAAAACAUACUGAGUUAAAGCUUGAAUGGACUUUUGGCUUUAUCACUAACCAUGUGUGAAACAGAAUAUUAAAUACCCUCUCUG
rnacentral:lncRNA from 1 species